rnacentral:rRNA from 1 species
GCAUGCAGGUGGUUUGUUUAAGUUACAGAUGUGAAAGACCCGGGGCGUCAACCUCGGAAUAGCAUUUGAAACUAGGCAGACUAGAGUACUGUAGAGGGGGGUAGGAAUUUCAGGUGUAGCGGUGAAAUGCGUAGAGAUCUGAAGGAAUACCGGUGGCGAAGGCGGCCCCCGUCCGGACAGAUACUGACACUCAGAUGCGAAAGCGUGGGGAGCAAACAGGAUUAGAUACCCCUGGUAG